GCGAAUUAUGGAAUUCACUACACUGGGCAACCAAAGGUGCUUGAAGGGUAUAGUGACUCAAACUGGAUCUCAGAUGCUGAUGCGAUAAAGGCCACGAGCGGUUAUGUAUUCACUCAUGGAGGUGGCGCUGUUUCUUGGAAGUCUUGCAAGCAGACCAUCUUAACGAGGUCAACAAUGGAAGCAGAACUCACAACACUAGAUACAGCUACGGUCGAAGAAGAUUGGCUCCACCGGCUCUUGAAUGACUUGCCGGUUGUUGAGAAACCUGUACUGGGUAUCCUUAUGAACUGCGAGAAUCAAACUAUGAUCACGAAAGUGAGCAGCUCAAAGGAUAACAUGAAGUCAUCAAGACACGUUCAGAGAAGGUUAAAGUCUGUCAGGAAAAUGAGAAACUCCGGAGUUAUUGCAUUGGAUUAUAUCCAAACGUCUAAAAAUCUGGCAGAUCCUUUCACUAAGGGUCUAUCACGUAAUGUGAUAGAUAAUGCAUCGAGGGAGAUGGGUAUGAGACCCACA
rnacentral:rRNA from 1 species